UACGGGGGGGGGCAAGCGUUGUUCGGAAUUACUGGGCGUAAAGGGCUCGUAGGCGGCCAACUAAGUCAGACGUGAAAUCCCUCGGCUUAACCGGGGAACUGCAUCUGAUACUGGAUGGCUUGAGUUCGGGAGAGGGAUGCGGAAUUCCAGGUGUAGCGGUGAAAUGCGUAGAUAUCUGGAGGAACACCGAUGGCGAAGGCAGGUCUCUGGGCAUUAACUGACGCUGAGGAGCGAAAGCAUGGGGAGCGAACAGG
rnacentral:rRNA from 1 species